rnacentral:rRNA from 1 species
GAUGAACGCUGGCGGCGUGCUUAACACAUGCAAGUCGAACGGAACUUGUUGGAUCAAGACUUCGGUCAAGUGAAUUCAAGUUUAGUGGCGGACGGGUGAGUAACGCGUGAGGAACCUGCCUCGGAGUGGGGAAUAACAGUUGGAAACAGCUGCUAAUACCGCAUGAUGUAUACGGAUCGCAUGGUCUGUAUACCAAAGAUUUAUCGCUCUGAGAUGGCCUCGCGUCUGAUUAGAUUGUUGGCGGGGUCACGGCCCACCAAGGCGACGAUCGGUAGCCGGACUGAGAGGUUGGCCGGCCACAUUGGGACUGAGACACGGCCCAGACUCCUACGGGAGGCAGCAGUGGGGAAUAUUGGGCAAUGGGCGCAAGCCUGACCCAGCAACGCCGCGUGAAGGAAGAAGGCUUUCGGGUUGUAAACUUCUUUUGUCAGGGACGAACAAAUGACGGUACCUGACGAAUAAGCCACGGCUAACUACGUGCCAGCCGCCGCCGUAACAC